rnacentral:rRNA from 1 species
GAUGAACGCUGGCGGCGUGCCUAAUACAUGCAAGUCGAGCGAACAGACGAGGAGCUUGCUCCUCUGACGUUAGCGGCGGACGGGUGAGUAACACGUGGAUAACCUACCUAUAAGACUGGGAUAACUUCGGGAAACCGGAGCUAAUACCGGAUAAUAUAUUGAACCGCAUGGUUCAAUAGUGAAAGACGGUUUUGCUGUCACUUAUAGAUGGAUCCGCGCCGCAUUAGCUAGUUGGUAAGGUAACGGCUUACCAAGGCGACGAUGCGUAGCCGACCUGAGAGGGUGAUCGGCCACCCUGGAACUGAGACACGGUCCAGACUCCUACGGGAGGCAGCAGUAGGGAAUCUUCCGCAAUGGGCGAAAGCUUGACGGAGCAACGCCGCGUGAGUGAUGAAGGUCUUCGGAUCGUAAAACUCUGUUAUUAGGGAAGAACAAAUGUGUAAGUAACUAUGCACGUCUUGACGGUACCUAAUCAGAAAGCCCCGGCUAACUACGUG